CGAAUGCUGACAUAAGUAACGAUAAAGCGGGUGAAAAGCCCGCUCGCCGGAAGACCAAGGGUUCCUGUCCAACGUUAAUCGGGGCAGGGUGAGUCGACCCCUAAGGCGAGGCCGAAAGGCGUAGUCGAUGGGAAACAGGUUAAUAUUCCUGUACUUGGUGUUACUGCGAAGGGGGGACGGAGAAGGCUAUGUUGGCCGGGCGACGGUUGUCCCGGUUUAAGCGUGUAGGCUGGUUUUCCAGGCAAAUCCGGAAAAUCAAGGCUGAGGCGUGAUGACGAGGCACUACGGUGCUGAAGCAACAAAUGCCCUGCUUCCAGGAAAAGCCUCUAAGCAUCAGGUAACAUCAAAUCGUACCCCAAACCGACACAGGUGGUCAGGUAGAGAAUACCAAGGCGCUUGAGAGAACUCGGGUGAAGGAACUAGGCAAAAUGGUGCCGUAACUUCGGGAGAAGGCACGCUGAUAUGUAGGUGAAGUCCCUCGCGGAUGGAGCUGAAAUCAGUCGAAGAUACCAGCUGGCUGCAACUGUUUAUUAAAAACACAGCACUGUGCAAACACGAAAGUGGACGUAUACGGUGUGACGCCUGCCCGGUGCCGGAAGGUUAAUUGAUGGGGUCAGCGCAAGCGAAGCUCUUGAUCGAAGCCCCGGUAAACGGCGGCCGUAACUAUAACGGUCCUAAGGUAGCGAAAUUCCUUGUCGGGUAAGUUCCGACCUGCACGAAUGGCGUAAUGAUGGCCAGGCUGUCUCCACCCGAGACUCAGUGAAAUUGAACUCGCUGUGAAGAUGCAGUGUACCCGCGGCAAGACGGAAAGACCCCGUGAACCUUUACUAUAGCUUGACACUGAACAUUGAGCCUUGAUGUGUAGGAUAGGUGGGAGGCUUUGAAGUGUGGACGCCAGUCUGCAUGGAGCCGACCUUGAAAUACCACCCUUUAAUGUUUGAUGUUCUAACGUGGACCCGUGAUCCGGGUUGCGGACAGUGUCUGGUGGGUAGUUUGACUGGGGCGGUCUCCUCCUAAAGAGUAACGGAGGAGCACGAAGGUUGGCUAAUCCUGGUCGGACAUCAGGAGGUUAGUGCAAUGGCAUAAGCCAGCUUGACUGCGAGCGUGACGGCGCGAGCAGGUGCGAAAGCAGGUCAUAGUGAUCCGGUGGUUCUGAAUGGAAGGGCCAUCGCUCAACGGAUAAAAGGUACUCCGGGGAUAACAGGCUGAUACCGCCCAAGAGUUCAUAUCGACGGCGGUGUUUGGCACCUCGAUGUCGGCUCAUCACAUCCUGGGGCUGAAGUAGGUCCCAAGGGUAUGGCUGUUCGCCAUUUAAAGUGGUACGCGAGCUGGGUUUAGAACGUCGUGAGACAGUUCGGUCCCUAUCUGCCGUGGGCGCUGGAGAACUGAGGGGGGCUGCUCCUAGUACGAGAGGACCGGAGUGGACGCAUCACUGGUGUUCGGGUUGUCAUGCCAAUGGCACUGCCCGGUAGCUAAAUGCGGAAGAGAUAAGUGCUGAAAGCAUCUAAGCACGAAACUUGCCCCGAGAUGAGUUCUCCCUGACCCUUUAAGGGUCCUGAAGGAACGUUGAAGAC
rnacentral:rRNA from 1 species